rnacentral:rRNA from 1 species
UAGUACGGCGAGUGAAGAGGGAAGAGCCCAAGAUUGAAAGCUGGCGCCUUCGGCGUCCGCAUUGUAAUCUCAAGAAGUGUUUUCCGCUUCGGACCAUGCCUAAGUCCCUUGGAAAAGGGCAUCAUAGAGGGUGAUAAUCCCGUACAUGGCAUGGAGCGCCCGAAGCUUUGUGAUACGCUUUCUAAGAGUCGAGUUGUUUGGGAAUGCAGCUCAAAAUGGGUGGUAAAUGCCAUCUAAGGCUAAAUAUUGGGGAGAGACCGAUAGCGAACAAGUACAGUGAUGGAAAGAUGAAAAGAACUUUGAAAAGAGAGUUAAACAGUACGUGAAAUUGCCAAAAGGGAAGGGUAGGAGGUCAGAGAUGCGUCGCAGGAUUCAGCCUUGCUUUUGCUUGGUGUUUUUCCUGCGUUGCAGGCCAACGUCGGUUUUGGGCACUGGAGAAGGGUAGGAGGAACGUGGCACCUCUCGGGGUGUGUUAUAGCCUCCUACUGGAUACAGCGACCGAGACCGAGGAACGCAGCGUACUCGUAAGAGCGGGCCUUUUGGCACCUUUACGCUUAGGGCGUUGGCAUAAUGGCCCUCUACCACCCGUCUU